AUCUACUGUCCCACUAGUUAGCUCCUUUUCUUUAAUUGAAAAAUAGAGCUAAAAUAUCAUAUGACUUAAACAAUUAAGUGAAUAUGUGUCUGUAUUACUUUCAUUGGAAGUGACAAGAUCAGAAGUAAUCCAAAAUGCAUCUGCCAAUUUCUUAGAAUAUUACCAAGCAAAAUUGCAGCAACUCAAAUGAAGAGUUUCAUGCUAGAUUGUAAAGUCUAGAGAAUCUUGGAAUAUUGACUGAAGACAAGACACAAUGUAUUAUAGGAGUCAUUAUUCUUCCUCUAUCUGAAGUGAUAUAAAAGGCUGAUGAAAGCUACUCUUGGCAAUGUGUUAAUGGAUGCUAAUUAAAGUCCUCCUUUGGACCAGAGGAAACAUCUGAAGAAAGAAGAACACAAUAGAACCUUGCAGAUGGCUCCUGGAACAAGCAAGAGAAGGACAUCACCUGUGUCUGUGGAGGUGCAGAGAUCACAACCUCUCAAAGAAGGGCAGCAAGUGACACAAUGGAGACAAAGGAG
rnacentral:lncRNA from 1 species